UUGAACUUGAGAUACUUACAGGUAGGUGUCUGUUUACUGCUGACUAAAGGCUACUAUUCUCAGCUCCUGAAUCAGAUAAUAAACAUUACCAAAAUGACUUUUUUUAAAAAUACCUUUUAGUCAGCAAGAACCGAUUCAAAUCUGUUUGGCUUUACUCUUAGGUACGUUUUCUUUCUGUUGGAAGGACUAAGAUCAUUCUUGGGCUGCCAGCUUCAUGGAGGAAAAAGAGUUAUGGAUAAAGAGAAAUAUGAGAAGAGUGAGACUUUGUCCAAGAUCACCCAAUGAGGGGGAUUUAAACAGAGGGGAUCUGAUCCACGAGGCUCAUGAAUGCAGAGGUAGAUACCUUCCCUGGUACCGGAGCCAAGCUUCUGUUUACGAAGCACACAGUAAAUGCGUUAUUUACAUUACUUUGACACUUAAUGAUAUCCCUCACGGUAGGUAGAUAAAUACCUCCAUCCCAAUCCUCAUAUUAAAGUGAGAAAAUUGAACCUCUGUGGCUAGUGACUUUUUCCAAGUCUUCAUCUCUUCUCUUUAAACACAGUGUCAUGAAUGAUGAUAAAUGUAGGGCUCUACAUCCUCACUUCAUGAUCAGUAUUUGUUUCCAACAGUUUUCAUCCAGGGAAAGGGAAUGAGAAUUCCUAGCUCAGUAACUGAUGUUCUUGGAGCAAUAGUUUAGGAUAGUUUGGCUGCACUACCCUCUUAAGGAGGUUUGACUCAACUGUUGGAAUAGAGAUGCUCCUGGCAAUUAUAUCUUUGCUUUUGACAGUGGAAUUCUUUAUUUGAAAUUUAUUUUAUUGAGACACCAAUGUGUUAAUUUUUCCUAUACAGCAAAGUGAUUCAGUUACAUAUAUAUAUUCUUUUAAUAUUCUUUCUAUGUGGUUUAUCAUAGGGUACUGAAUCUGGUUCUCUGUGCUAUACAGUAGGACCUUGUUGUUUAUCCAUUCUGUAUAUAACAGUUUGCUUCUGCUAAUCCCAAACUCCCACUCCAUCCCUCCUCCUCUCACCUCUGGCAAUCAGUCUGUUCUCUAUGCAUUUAACUCUGUUUCUGUUUCACAGAUAAGUUCAUUUGUGUCAUAUUUUAGAUUCCA
rnacentral:lncRNA from 1 species